GUGGGGAAUAUUGCACAAUGGGGGAAACCCUGAUGCAGCAACGCCACGUGUGGGAAGAAGCAUUUCGGUGUGUAAACCACUGUCAUGAGGGAAUAAGGCCCGCCUUCGGACGGGAUUGAAUGUACCUUGAGAGGAAGCACCGGCAAACUUCGUGCCAGCAGCCGCGGUAAUACGAGGGGUGCAAGCGUUGUUCGGAAUUACUGGGCGUAAAGGGAGCGUAGGCGGAGAUUCAAGCGGAUUGUACAAUCCCGGGGCCCAACCCCGGACCUGCAGUCCGAACUGGACCUCUUGGAUAGUUCAGGGGCAGGCGGAAUUCCUGGUGUAGCGGUGGAAUGCGUAGAGAUCAGGAAGAACACCGAUGGCGAAGGCAGCCUGCUGGGGACUCAUCGACGCUGAGGCUCGAAAGUGCGGGUAGCAAACAGG
rnacentral:rRNA from 1 species